rfam:Trachymyrmex cornetzi contig33639, whole genome shotgun sequence.
GAUUCUCUAAAUCGUCCACCUCCUCGCGGUGAGAAUCGGGAAACUUUGAAAUAUUCAAAGGCAAAGGACGCUACU